rnacentral:tRNA from 1 species
GCCGCAGUAGCUCAGUGGUAGAGCGUCUCCUUGGUAAGGAGAAGGGCGCGAGUCCGAUUCUCGCUUGCGGCUCCA